AGAGUUUGAUCCUGGCUCAGGACGAACGCUGGCGGCGUGCUUAACACAUGCAAGUCGAACGGUAAGGCCCUUUCGGGGGUACACGAGUGGCGAACGGGUGAGUAACACGUGGGUAAUCUGCCCUGCACUUCGGGAUAAGCCUGGGAAACUGGGUCUAAUACCGGAUAUGAGCUCUCAUCGCAUGGUGGGGGUUGGAAAGUUUUUUCGGUGCAGGAUGAGCCCGCGGCCUAUCAGCUUGUUGGUGGGGUAAUGGCCUACCAAGGCGACGACGGGUAGCCGGCCUGAGAGGGUGAUCGGCCACACUGGGACUGAGACACGGCCCAGACUCCUACGGGAGGCAGCAGUGGGGAAUAUUGCACAAUGGGCGGAAGCCUGAUGCAGCGACGCCGCGUGGGGGAUGACGGUCUUCGGAUUGUAAACCCCUUUCAGUAGGGACGAAGCGCAAGUGACGGUACCUGCAGAAGAAGCACCGGCCAACUACGUGCCAGCAGCCGCGGUAAUACGUAGGGUGCGAGCGUUGUCCGGAAUUACUGGGCGUAAAGAGCUCGUAGGCGGUUUGUCGCGUCGUCCGUGAAAACUCGGAGCUUAACUCCGGGCGUGCGGGCGAUACGGGCAGACUUGAGUACUACAGGGGAGACUGGAAUUCCUGGUGUAGCGGUGAAAUGCGCAGAUAUCAGGAGGAACACCGGUGGCGAAGGCGGGUCUCUGGGUAGUAACUGACGCUGAGGAGCGAAAGCAUGGGUAGCGAACAGGAUUAGAUACCCUGAUAGUCCAUGCCGUAAACGGUGGGCGCUAGGUGUGGGGGUCUUCCACGACUUCCGUGCCGUAGCUAACGCAUUAAGCGCCCCGCCUGGGGAGUACGGCCGCAAGGCUAAAACUCAAAGGAAUUGACGG
rnacentral:rRNA from 1 species